rnacentral:rRNA from 1 species
UACAUGUGGGGCAAGCGUUGUUCGGAAUCACUGGGCGUAAAGCGUGCGUAGGCGGUUUCUUAAGUCUGUCGUGAAAGCCCUGGGCUCAACCUGGGAAUGGCGAUGGAUACUGGGAGGCUAGAGUGUGAUAGAGGAUGGUGGAAUUCCCGGUGUAGCGGUGAAAUGCGUAGAGAUCGGGAGGAACACCAGUGGCGAAGGCGGCCAUCUGGAUCAACACUGACGCUGAGGCACGAAAGCGUGGGGAGCAAACAGG